AUUUAAAUAGCUUAUGAUAGAGUUCGAUAUUGAAGAUAUCGCGGAAGUAGUAAUACUUUUAAGUA
rnacentral:tRNA from 1 species